AUUGAACGCUGGCGGCAGGCCUAACACAUGCAAGUCGAGCGGCAGAACGGUACUUGCUUCUGGUUUCGGGGGCCGACGGGCGGGUAAUGCCUAAGUAUCUGCCUGUUUAUUUUUUAUAACGUCCUGAAACGGGCGCUCUUACCCCAUACGCCCUGAGGGCCUACGGGUGAGAUCAUCGGACCUUACGCCAUCGGAUGAGCCUAGGUCCGAUUGGCUAGUUGGUGGGUUAAAGGCCUACCGACGCGCCGAUCCGUCACUGGUCUGAGAGUAUGAGCAGACACUGUGGAACUGAGACACGGUCCAGACUCAUACGGGAGGCAGCAGUGGGGAAUAUUGGACAAGGGGCGAACGCCUGAUACAGCCAUGGCGCGUGUGAAGAAGGUCUUCGGAUUGUAAAGCACUUUAAGUGGGGAGGAAGGGCAGUAAGUUAAUACCUUGCUGUUUUGACGGUACCAAAAGAAUAAGCACCGGCUAACUUCGUG
rnacentral:rRNA from 1 species